GCAAGCUGGUUUUUCCAGACGCUUUUUUGUUUUGUCUUUGGUGUUCGUUGGGAGUUUCACGUGACCUUGACGCGUGACUUUGACGACACCGAUUUGACGAUUGGACGAUUGACGAUUCUUGAUCCAAGAAAAA
rnacentral:misc_RNA from 2 species